UACGAAGGGUACGAGCGUUAUUCGGAGUUACUGGGCGUAAAGAGCGUGUAGGCGGUUAGUUAAGUUAGUUGUUAAAUUCCCCGGCCUAACCGGGGAUCCGCAGCUAAAACUGGCUGACUAGAGUGCAAGAGAGAGAAGUAGAAUUCCCGGAGUAGCGGUAAAAUGCGUAGAUCUCGGGAGGAAUACCGAUGGCGAAGGCAGCUUCUUGGCUUGUAACUGACGCUAAAGCGCGAAAGCGUGGGGAGCAAACAGGAUUAGAUACCCUGGUAGUCCACGCCGUAAACGAUGAUCACUGGAUAUGGGUUUGACAUAGUCAGAUCUGUGUCGAAGCUAACGCGUUAAGUGAUCCGCCUGGGAAAUACGGUCGCAAGAUUA
rnacentral:rRNA from 1 species